GGGCCUGUAGUAUAGUGGUAGAACAUCAGCUUCGCAAGUUGGAGAUCCGAGUUCGAUUCUCGGCAGGUCCA
rnacentral:tRNA from 1 species